GGGUGCGAUCAUACCAACGUUAAUACACCGGAUCCCAUCAGAACUCUGCAGUUAAGCGUGCUUGGGCUAGAGUAGUACUGGGAUGGGUGACCUCCCCGGAAGUCCUAGUGUUGCACCCU
rfam:Picea glauca, whole genome shotgun sequence.